AAUAGCGAUGUUGUCCUGUGAGGAACAAGGACCUCUUGGAGCUGAGGACAGACCCUAGAUGCAAGGCUUGCCUGGAGAGGUCUGAAUUGACACAGGCUCCGUUGAGGUGAUGAAGUACUUCUCCGGGCAGAGAGGCCUCCUCGGCUGCUUCCUCAGGCUGAGCAUUAGAUGGACAGAGCUGGGACUAAGUCCCAGGGUGGCAAGAGUGUCAUGGAACAAGACUAUAAUGACCGAUGCUGUUGAAUUCACCAAGAGUCUGAGGAGGGCCUUGAACCUCGGAUCCUCCUGUCUCCAUCUCCCAGGUGCCGGGAUGAGGGGUUCCUGGUUGGAAGCACAAAAACAAAACAACAACAGCAACAAAAAAGCCAGCUCCUGCCUAGAGCUCACACAUGUUGCCAGCCAAGGGUUUCACUUCCUUCAAUCUUUGGCUCAAGAACCCUAAAGAAGCCAGAUGUGGUGGCACAUGCUUUUAAUUCCAACAUUCAGGAGGCAGAGGUAGGCAGAUCUCUGCGGAUUUGAGGUCAGCCCUGUCUACACAGUGUGUCCCAGACCAGCCAGGCCUGCAUGAAGAAACCAGGCCUCAAAGAAAACCUACCCCGGAGUCCAGCUGACCUCUGGUCUUCUCCCUAUCGGCCAAUCAACACAGCGCAGGUUUAUAUAAGCUGAAGUCAGAAAGUCAUUCAACAAACAUUCACAGCACAGUCCACAGACCUUACAUGCUGGAGUAGGAAUAUUGCCGGAGUGAGGAGAAAAACCAGCUGUUCUUUUCAGAACUUGCGCUAUGGGAGGAAAGAAUGGCAGUCCUGGAUUUUAAAAUGUGGCCAAAAGAUUUUGCUCAGUGGUUAAGACCACUGGCUGUUUGCUGAUGGCCUCAGUUCAGUCCCAGCAUCCAUGUUGGGUGGCUCGGAACUGCUUCUAAGUCCGGCUCCAGGGGAUCCGGCACUUUUUUUUUUUUUUGUCUCUACUGGUACCUGCAUUCAUAUGCACAUACACUGGCCACACAUAUACACAUAAUUAUUAAAAAAUUAAAAAUCUUUUAAAAUGUGGCUGAGAUUGUGCAAAGAAAAAUAACAAACCUCAGCCCGAUUAGGUGUCUCUGGCCAGAGUCGGGACCUCCAUGCCACUGCUGGACACUGUAAAGCCUAACCUUGGCCGUCAACUUGACCACGUGUGGAAUUAACUGAACCCAAACUGUGGACACUCCAGAGAGAUGUUUUCUUAAUGCUAUUAUUUGAAACAGGAAGACCCACCCCAAAUCUAGACCACACCUUCUGGAGGCAGCCACAUAAAAGGACAUGGAAGAGGAAACUUUGCUUUUUGUCUGCUGUGUUCACUCUUGCUGUUAAGGUCAUCUAUCCUGUGGCUGCAGCUGGUAUCUCCUCCAGCAUCUUCAGGGGUCCAGCGCAGACUGAAGACCAGAGGCUCUCUAGGACUCCAGCACCAGCCCAGGACUGCACAGAUAUCAGUCUUUGUGCUCUCUGCUUCAGUUCCUGUCUCAGUUUCUGGCUUGAGUUCUUGUCCUGACCUCUCUUCAUGAUAACUAUAAACUACAAGAUGAAAUAAACCCUUUCCUUCCCGUGGUGCUUUUGAUGAUGGAGUUUGUCUCAGGGUUGCUUUGCUGUGACGAAACAUCUUUACCAAAAGCAACUCAGGGAGGAAAAGGUUUAUUUGGCUUAACUAUCCUGAAUCACAGUCCAAUGAGAGAAGCUUAGGGAGGAAUUCAAGCCAGCCUGGAACCUAGAGGCAGGAGCUGAUGCAGAGGUAUGGAGGGGUGCUGCUUACUGGCUUGCUCCCCACGGCUUGCCUAGCCUGCCUUCUUUUGCAUAUAAGUGUGCUCUAUCUGUAGAUCAUUUGCAUGACAGAAGAGGGCAUCAGAUUCCAGUAUAGAUGGUUGUGAGCCACCAUGUGGAUGCUGGAAAUUGAACUCAGGACCUCUGAAAGAACAGACAGUGCUCUUAACCUCUGAGCCAUCUCUCCAGCCCCCAGCCUGCCUUCUUAUAAUACCCAGGACCAUCAACGCAGAGGUGACACUGCCUACAACAGCCUGGGCCCUCCCCCAUCAAUCACUGUUAAGAAAAUGCCCCACAGGCUCGUCCACAGGCAGACCUUAUGAGGGGUAUUGUCUCAGUGGAGGUUCCCUCCUCUCAGAUGACGCUAGCUUGUGUCAAGUUUAUAUAAAACUAACAGUAAUGAAAGGUAAACUUGGACAAGGACCCAUGUAAAAAUGCUAGAUGUUGUAAUCAGUGUGAGGGGCAGAGAUAGGCAAAUCCUUGGGACUCCCGCUGGCAGCCAGUCUAACCUAAUUGUUCAAGCCUAAGCUAGUGAGAGAUCCUGCCCCAAAUGAGAUGAGGGGCUGGAGAGAUGGCUCAGAGGUUAGGAGCACUGGCUGCUCUUCCAGAGGUCCUGGGUUCAAUU